GGUGACAGUCACCUGUGGCGAAGUGAGUGACUGAAGAGGAGCAGGCUGUGUCACUGUGGAAGCUUCUCUGCCACAGAGUCCUCCUCUUCCUCCCACACGACAGCAGAAAGCAAACCAUUGGAAUGAUAAUUGGAGAGUACUUGGUGUGUUCUGAGAGACAACACGGAGAACAGGAGGAGAACACUGUGAAUGCCGCAGGCUUUUAAACUAAGUCCAGAGUCCACAAGACGAAGAGAGAAAGCACUCGGGAGCCACUGAAUGUCUGCUUUAUGGACGUUUGCUCUUUUGGCAUCCAGCCAAAGCCAGGCAUACUGGCACAGGCCUGUCAUCCAGCACUCAGGAGGCGAAAGCAGGAGGGUUAGGAGUCCAAGGUCAUCCUGAGCAACCUGAGGCCCUGUCGCAACGGACAGACCUUAUCCUGUCUCUGCCUCCCCACUCCUUGGAGUCCAGGUGUGCACCUUCAUGCAUAGCAAGAGUUCUGUUUUCUGUGGGUGCCUACUGAACUUUCUCCAAAGCCCUCCAACCGAGUUGCCAGCCUUGAGAUCUCUGAUGAGCCUUCAAUCAAUAUGGGCAGCCGAAUGUACUCUCAGCUCUGGGAUAUAUAAUGCAUAUGAUGCCAACCAUAUCUGACCCAAAUGAUAGAUUAUAGCAUACUUCAUCAGGGUUUUCUGACUGCCUUCGGAAAAGAGAAAAUAAAUUGCUUUCUUCUGAAAUGAACGCUCUUUUGCAAACAAAGAAGUCGAUUUAACUCAGUUAUAAAAAAGGCUACAGUACUUCAGCACAGGCACUGGAGGAGGCCCUGGAACUCCCUCCUGCACCAAGAGAAGCCAUUCUUCUCUGUCACCAAUGCCCAGCCCAGGUGAGAUGCUCAGUCAUUCUGGGACUUGUUUUUGUGACCUUUGAAGAGGACAGUUGUGACUUACUCUUUAAUCAUGUUGAACAGUGAGUUGAUUUCCGGGCAAGUGCGGCUGUGACCAUGCUGCUUACGGUGACCACUGGCAUUUUCCUAGGCAAAGCAACUUCAGUUUGCUAAUGGAGCCACAUCUGAUCCCAAUUCAGACAAAUUUCUGCAUGCCAGACCGAUAUCAUAUCUCAUACAUGUCAUUCGUGUGUAUGCUGUCCACUCCUAACCAAUUUUAAAUGGAUGCUUGUGGUGCCCUUGCCUAGACCACGGUAAGAAGGGCUUAGCGAUUGCAGUCCUGGGGGCACUGCAUCCCACACUGAUACCAGCCACCUUCCCCUGUGCCAGCAACCUCCCAAUGUGAGCGCACACGACUCCCUGGAACAU